AGUGAAACUACUGGGUCUUAUGGUAAGUAUAUGUUUAAUUUCAUAAAAUAUUGCCAAAUGUUUUUCCAAAGUUGUAGUUACAUUUUGCAUUCCCUUCAGCAGC
rnacentral:pre_miRNA from 1 species